UACCAGAUGUUAGAUUGAAGGAG
rnacentral:miRNA from 1 species